CACAAUGAUCACAAUCUCACGUAAGUUUUCAAGCCAUGGAGUAUCAUAUAAAUAUUGCGAAAUGUGAUCAAACCAUUACCAUUAAGUGAACUCUCUCUCAGACGCGAUGUCCCUUAAAUUCAACUCACUGUUUUUAGUCCUUCUACUUCUGGCAAUGAUCAUCUCCAAUGAUCAAGCCUUUGCGCAAUACCUAAGUGAAAACAAUAAUCAAAUGGAGUCAAAUUGCUUUGGUUCAAGCGGGUCCGGCGGGUCAUCAGGUAAUUCUGGCGGUUCAAGCGAUUCAUCAGGUGAUUCAAGCGACUCAGGAUCAUCAAGUGACAUGCAAAGCCAACCAAUGAUGUCGAUGAAUCCAUAUCCAUACGACAAAAAAACCGUUAAAAUGGCAUGAGCCAGCAACUUCUUCAGCAUCUCUCAGACAUAAAUCUGAGAACCGCGACACUUACGCAUUGCAUGUGGAGAAUUGAGAAUAAAUUAUUCAUAAUUA